CAAAUCCCUCCUGUGUUGCUUCUGAUUUCUGUCUAAUAGGACAGUGGAUUCAUAACAUUUUCAGCCAUGAACUAUUAGAUAGAACAGUGAUCAGGAUGUGUUUGCUUGUUUGAGGUUGGUCUCUUUAGGAUCUUGUCCUGGAGCCAACUUAAAGGAGUGAAUUUCAUUGCCUGAGAUGUAUUGAAAAUUUAGGGAUUCUGCAGUACUCUGGAGCCAAGUUACAGCUUAGAAGAGGAGAAGGUGGGAGCUAUUAAAGACUCCUAGUUUCCAGUCACAGAGCCUAACUCAUUGGAAGGAAUGCAUUCAAUCUUGAGGAACAAGAGGUCUGUUGGUGCAACUCUCCAGCCUGUUGACCCAUGGAAGAAGAAUGACUUUGCCUCCAAGAGGAAUCACCCGGCUGCUUUCCCUGUUGAAGGUGAGGCUGAAACUGAGCUUCAGAGAAGGAGAUGACCAGUCCAAGGUCAGAGUAAUUCGAAAAGCCACGAUUGAACCCAGAUCUUUGGACUUUAAAUAAAGUGCUCUUUCUUUAUAUUUGCCACACUAA